GACGAAGGGGGCUAGCGUUGUUCGGAAUUACUGGGCGUAAAGCGCGUGUAGGCGGUUGCCAUAGUCCGGUGUGAAAGCCUUGAGCUUAACUCAAGAAAUGCACUUGAUACUGGGCGACUAGAGGACCGGAGAGGAUAGUGGAAUUCCCAGUGUAGUGGUGAAAUACGUAGAGAUUGGGAAGAACACCAGUGGCGAAGGCGGCUAUCUGGACGGUUACUGACGCUAAGACGCGAAAGCGUGGGGAGCAAACAGG
rnacentral:rRNA from 1 species